GUUCAGAAGAGAAAGGCAUUUACUUCCCUUCUGGCUGCACUUGGAAUAACACUGAAGGCCUCACUUACUCCCAGCAGGGAGCCUGUCUGACCCCAGGGCUUUUGUACCUGCGGACCUCCCUCCCUGCAGCUCUCCCAGGCCCUGCUAGGCAUUCAGCAAAGGGGGCUUUCGGGCGCACAUCUGCAACACGUGACAUUCACAUGUGCUCUGGAGGAUGUUUGACUGAAGGAAUGAGGGACUCCAGUUGGAGGAUAUAAAUGACAGGAAGUGGGCAAACGGUGCCCCGCAGGCUUGUGGUCCCAGCUCCCUGAGCUCUCCUCCCUCCUCCAGCCUCCUGCCGCAGCUGAGGAGAAGCCGCUCUCUGUGCCCAGUCUGCAGGAGGGGGGAAAGCCCCGGACGGACGGCGUCCUUGAGCCCUGUCUGAGAAAUCGAUCCUGGAAUCUUCAGAUCCUGGGGGAAAUGUUCAGAGCCGCAGCCCUGCUCGAGAGGCCAAGGGCUCCUGUUUGCCGAAACACAUUGCAGUGCACAGAGGCGGCCAAGCUCGGUUCUGGAACAGACGGGAGCCGGGAAAUAAACAGAAAAGGCGGAGCCUCUGCUGGCCCCAAAGUCAGCCAUGGACCAUCACAGUGGAGGCCGGAGGAGAGCCCGCGUGCUGGCCAGAGCUGGGGAGAGAGCUGCGGCUCCCACGCAGGAAGGCCUGCAUCGGUGCGCGUCCCUGCACACACGAGGCUGCAGGAGCCUGGCUUUGUCCCAGGGCCAAACAUUCCCUUGGCUCCUCUUGGUUCUCCACAAAUGCUUGGGGGCAAUGUGGACCCUCACAUGGCUCAAGAUACCAAACUGUAUCAUCCAGGCACAGCGGCACACACCUGUGAUUCCAGCUACUUUGGAGGCUGA
rnacentral:lncRNA from 1 species